rnacentral:rRNA from 1 species
GACGAACGCUGGCGGCGUGCUUAACACAUGCAAGUCGAACGAUGAAGAAAAGAAUCGAAGCUUCGGCAGAAAUUCAUUUCGGAUUAGUGGCAGACGGGUGAGUAACGCGUGAGCAACCUACCUCUUACAAAGGGAUAGCCUCGGGAAACCGGGAUUAAUACCAUAUAACAUUGUGACGAAGCAUUUCGAUGCAAUCAAAGCUACGGCGGUAAGAGAUGGGCUCGCGUCCCAUUAACCGGAUGGUGAGGUAACGGCUCACCAUAGUGACGAUGGGUAACCGGCCUGAGAGGGUGAACGGUCACACUGGAACUGAGACACGGUCCAGACUCCUACGGGAGGCAGCAGUGGGGAAUAUUGCACAAUGGAGGGAACUCUGAUGCAGCGACGCCGCGUGAGUGAUGAAGGAAUUCGUUUCGUAAAACUCUGUUCUAUGGGAAGAAAAGGACGGUACCAUAGGAGAAAGCUCCGGCUAAAUACGUG